GAUGAACGCUGGCGGCGUGCCUAAUACAUGCAAGUCGAGCGAACAGACGAGGGGCUUGCUCCUCUGACGUUAGCGGCGGACGGGUGAGUAACACGUGGAUAACCUACCUAUAAGACUGGGAUAACUUCGGGAAACCGGAGCUAAUACCGGAUAAUAUAUUGAACCGCAUGGUUCAAUAGUGAAAGACGGUUUUGCUGUCACUUAUAGAUGGAUCCGCGCCGCAUUAGCUAGUUGGUAAGGUAACGGCUUACCAAGGCAACGAUGCGUAGCCGACCUGAGAGGGUGAUCGGCCGCACUGGAACUGAGACACGGUCCAGACUCCUACGGGAGGCAGCAGUAGGGAAUCUUCCGCAAUGGGCGAAAGCCUGACGGAGCAACGCCGCGUGAGUGAUGAAGGUCUUCGGAUCGUAAAACUCUGUUAUUAGGGAAGAACGAAUGUGUAAGUAACUAUGCACGUCUUGACGGUACCUAAUCAGAAAGCCACGGCUAACUACGUG
rnacentral:rRNA from 1 species